CCUACGGGGUGCAGCAGUGAGGAAUAUUGGUCAAUGGACGAGAGUCUGAACCAGCCAAGUAGCGUGAAGGAUGACUGCCCUAUGGGUUGUAAACUUCUUUUAUAUGGGAAUAAAAUGUUCCACGUGUGGGAUUUUGUAUGUACCAUAUGAAUAAGGAUCGGCUAACUCCGUGCCAGCAGCCGCGGUAAUACGGAGGAUCCGAGCGUUAUCCGGAUUUAUUGGGUUUAAAGGGAGCGUAGGUGGAUUGUUAAGUCAGUUGUGAAAGUUUGCGGCUCAACCGUAAAAUUGCAGUUGAAACUGGCAGUCUUGAGUACAGUAGAGGUGGGCGGAAUUCGUGGUUUAGCGGUGAAAUGCUUAGAUAUCACGAAGAACUCCGAUUGCGAAGGCAGUUCACUGGACUGCAACUGACACUGAGGCUCGAAAGUGUGGGUAUCAAACAGGAUUAGAUACCCGGGUAGUC
rnacentral:rRNA from 1 species